AAUAUGAAGCCCGCCAAAUUCCCCAAAGAACAAUUUACAGUUAUGGAUGAGUACACUGUCACAGUCAAAUUUGAACUCCGUGGAUGUGUGUGUUGAAGACAGUGGAAUGCUGAGUGAUUCCAGAGAGCACUUAAGCUGCCUUGAAUUCGGUUUUCUGUUCCCACCCGCGUUCUAACAGGAGAGGGGCUUUUCUUUGGAGUUUGCAAGGGGGUAAACACUGGGUAUCUGCUUUCUGAGUCAUUUAGCAUCGUCCUCUGUCACCUUCCUCAUAUAUUCUAAACAGUGUUUUCAGGUUUUGUCGGGCCAGCCUGAACGAGACUAACCCCCCAAUUUAUUUGAUUUUGUUCCUCUUGGCAGUUCCGCUGAAGACCUAUCUGAACUUUUCAUGGAUUUGUUUGGCUGUGGUUUUGAUGUGCGUGUUGUUAUUUUUUUUUUUUUCUUCUUCUUCUUCUUCUUCUCCGUCUUCCAAGUCUGUGUAGUCGACGGUGCCUGAGUGCCAGGCCCUGCUUUUGUCUCGGGCCCAGAGAAGGAAUUUGAUGUGAGACUUAUUUUCCUACCGAGUCAGUUUCUUUGAGCAUAUUUCUCCCGCUUCUGUUUUUUUUUUUUUUCUCUCUCUCUUGUUUUGUUUUUGUUUUGUUUUUUCUAAUAGUCCUGGAAGUUUGGGACACUUCUUUUGAGGCAGGUGACGCUGCGAUUUGACUGCUCUCGCAUACCUGUGCAGGUGUGCACACGCUUGUUGUAUUUAUUUAACCGGUCUCUCUUUCUCUCUAAAAAAAAAAAAAGUACUUUAAUUGAGAGGCCUGUUAAAACGUCACUGAAAUCAGUCAGGCGAAAGCAGGAGGGAAGUGUGAUGGGGGUGAAAAGGAGACCUGGAUUCCAUUAGAUUAAGGAGGAUCAUCAUAGUAGAGGUUUUUGGAUGAAGGGAGAGACGGCUCAAUCCUGACGGCUGUUUUUCACGAGAGGAAGUCUAAACUAACAUGUCAGACCACUUUUUCUCAUCAGCAGGAUGUGCUAUAGACGCCCAGCGUCGGCCAGACAUCGCUUUUUUGCGAAAGAUGCAGAGAAUUGCAUGCUGGGAAAAUAAUAAACAAGCCUGUCACCAAAGUUGGGAAGAAUCCUUAGUGCAGCGUUACUGUCAAGAAGAAGCUUCCAUUUCAUACAUUAUUAACAUUACCUAAACGCAUUAUUUGUGUAUUUAUUCAUUCAUUUGUCUUGUUAACAUCCUCCUGGAGUAAGAUAAACAGCACGACCAGACUGGCUGUGUGACAGUUGUGUUGAGAGAUUUGAAUAAAAAGCCCGGCAGCGUGAUUGGAGCGAGACAGGAGCCGAUUCUAUGGACACCAGACUUCCUCUCCAGGCUCAUUAAGGGACAGUAAGGCGAUGAUGUCGAAUCGGCGCGCACUUUACCGGCCUGCCUUUUUCUUUGAACAGCAUCGCCCUCUUAUCUGCAACAUGCUCUGUUCCUCCAUAACAAGACGCUCCCACUCCUAUGCACACAACACACACGCUCUGUCUGUCUCUGCCUCCACGCGCGCACACACACACACACAUUGUGCCUGCAUACACACUCUUCAUACUUAUUUAGUUUGUGUAGACAGAAAACUCUUAAGUAUGUGGCUUGUCCACAGAAUUUUGGCAGCUUUUGUUGUAUUUUCUCCUACGCUAUCGAAAAAGCCUGGUACUUGUUUUUUUUUUUUGUUCUUUUUUUCUGCACAGACAUCACAAAUGGAUAUUUUAAUUGGAACUUUUGGCACUGUCUCCAUCUUGUGUUGGAAUGGCAGACAAGUGAGUGGCUGGCGAGGCCGGGGCCGGGCUGAUUGGUGUGUAGCGAGGCGUGCCUAAAUCAACUGGCAGCAUGAAUAGCUCGCUUGAUUCUCACUGGCAUUCACUGGAAUCCAUGGUAGUCUUUUUUAAAACAAGAUUCUUUCUUUUGGGAAAAAAAAAAAAGAAGUCUGGAAUAACCAACAAGGGACAGAGAAUACCUCCUGCUUCCUUGAAGCAUGACUCCCCUUUUGUUUUGGUGGUGCAAUUUACCCGCCUUUAUGCCAACUCACUUUUUUGGUGCUUUUGUCAUGUCAGGAUAAAACGGCUAACCUAUGUUAUGUUGCUGUAUUCCAGCCAAAGAUUCAUUCAUUCACUGCACAACUUCAUAUUGAGGUUUUUGAAAUGUUAAUGUGCUCACGGUAAUGGAAAUAAUCACGUUACCGUAAUGAUUUAUCAUUGCACUCUUGAUGUUUUUAUUCCACUAACUCAAAGCGGAGUGGUAAGCCUGUUGGGAUUAGUGAAGAGUAACUGAAAAUAAAAACUGAUGGUAUCAGCCCUGAAGAUGAUUUAAAAUAUCUGCUUUUUGAAGUGACAUUCAGUCUUCAGACUGUGUGACUCCUGUUAUGCACGACUGUGUUUGUCUGAAGCUGCUCGGAGAAAUAGUGAUGUCAUACUAAGAUUUCUGUGCACCGACCAUCAAGUUCAAGCAUGAGGACUGAGGCAAAAAGAGAGCUGAUCAAAUGUGAUUAAAUGCAAUGUAACAUAGUUAGAAACCUGGAUAAAUCCUCAACACGGUCAAUUUUAUUUCUUCUUUUAUACAUUUUUUAUAUAAAGGCUCUACCACUGUCAUUUCUGUGCCAGAAAUUGGAGCAGUUUUCCAAAUUUUGUCAGAGAUUAAACCCGCACAUGGUACCACUGUGUAAUUCAUUCAUGUACCUUUUUAGGAAUUCGCUCCAGCGAAAGCUCACUCUGGCUCCACUGCAGCAGCUUAAUGCAAACCACAUGCUUGAGCCGCCCAUCUGCAUAAGUACACACCUGUUUAAACUGUGGACAGUCUUUUACCUCUAAACUGUAAAUUCAGGCACACUCACACCAGAGGCAAAGCAGCUGCACAGCCGGGUCAGGUUGGAGUCAUUGUAAUCCUCCUCGACAUAAUAUAGUCCUUGUGUUUGGCUGGGUUUGUGUGUGUGUGUGUGUGUGAGGAGGGAGCAGGAGAAAGAAUGGGAGAAAGAUAUCGUGUGUGUGUGUGUGCAGGCUGGGUUGUGUGAUCUGUAUACUCUGUGCUUGCAAAUAAGUGUUUUUGUGUAUGUGUGUGUGUGUGUGUGGUAGUGGGCCUUUCUCUCCUGGCUGGUAGUCAGUGCUGUGUAAUUACCUGGCUGUCUGCCACCGAGCCCCACUGGAGCAGAGACAGAAGUGGAGCUGUGUCUUACACAACGUAACACAGCAGCCCAUCUGAACCACUGGCCCAGAGUUUGUUCAGCUUGGGGUCUGGACACAAUAUGGGGUCUCUUGAGACGCAAGCAGGGUCAGGGAAGAUUUCUACAGACUGAUGAGUCAAGAUGUAUAUAUUUAGAUGCAUUCUACAAAAGUGCAUCCUCACUUCUGUAGAAUUCAUUUGGAGCUACAUUCAUAAAAAAAUAAACCAGACUUAAAAUCACAUAUGAUCUCGUUGCUUGGAUCAUGAUCAUUUUGGAAAAAAGUUACGACAAAUAAUUAUAUCCAUGCCACACAUGAAUAUGAUUUAAAAGUCUUAAGUUUGAGAUACCAAGAAAAUUGAAUGAAUUGCAUAAUUAAUUAAUUAAUGGGUAAUUUUGUCUAACUGAUUUAUAGACGAGUGAUUACUGAAGUAAAUACAGGGCCACAGGCCAGAAAAUAUUGUGAAAUGCUGCACGGCUGCCACAGGGCAGAAAAGUCUUAACUGACAGACAUAGACGGAAACAGGGCCAGCCAAUCAGAAGCCAGGAGAAGCCACAAGACAGAUUUACAGCGCUGGCAUAAAAGAACAUCUCUCAACUGCCUUGAUAUGAGCAAAAAGGGAAGGCCUCGGCAGAACCUGGCACAUCAAAGGCUACCUCCCCUAGUCUUACAAGUUGCCUGUCUCUUUGGAGGAGCCCGGGCUUCGGAGAGAGCCAGAAAAGGGGAUUGGAGAGGCGCUGUGGAUUCCCGGCUGGAAUGAGUUUGAUGGGCUAAUUGUAGCCCCCAGUGGACACAGGCACUCAUCACAGAGGGCCGGCUGAGAGCGGGGAGCAGAAAGUGUGGGUGAGGAGCAGCAGUGUGGCUGGAAAACACUCCUGCUAGCUUUGCCCUUCAUCUCUGGAUAUCUGCACAUGGCUCUCCGGUGCCUUUGAUUUCAGUAUCCUGUCCUGACUAUAUGGAUGUCAGAAAUAUUCCCGACAUAUAUCACUCUUUUUCUCAGCCGUUCCCAUCAUUAAUAUCGUUGCACAUUUCAGUUUUUUCUUGGCUCUGCAAACCUGGCAACUCCCAUGAGUAGUCCUGCCUAUCUUUGUGUUUUCCCACAAGCCUGCAUUUUUUCUUCUUCUUUUUUUUUUUUUUUGAUGGAGCUGUAGGCCCUAUCUGCUCACGUUGACAUCCUCCAUCAAAAUAAACACCUUCUCCAGGCGAUUGAAGCACAUUAAUGAUGCAGGCACAUCGGCGAGCAUUGUUAGGAGUGCAUGUUGGUCACUACAUUUAAUAAGCUUUCUUGACCGCGCAGAGGUCGAACUGGAACACGGCGCAUAACCAAACGAAUGUAAUGCACGGACUAAUCCCCGUGCCUCACUACCAACAACGUUACUAACCCGGCUCCACUGUAGUGUUGAUCAAAAACAAAAAAAUCUCUCCGCAGCUUUGAACAGUUCUCUUUUUUUUCCCCAUCUGCAUCAAAAAGAAAUCAAUAGCUGAAACUUUUGAGCGCAUGUAUCAGUUUCCCCUCACCACGCUCCCUAUACCACUGCCAGUUUGGCAGUUGCACAUUAUGCCACAAGAGUAAAAGACAGUUAAAAGGAGGAAUGGCACAAGAAGAUGACACCGGCAAGGAAGUGGCUUGUGUUGGGUAGAGGGGGCCUUGGUUUGGUAGAAAAAUCAAUGGGAGGGAACACUUCCAUACACGGAAAUGGCACAAUGGGAGGGAGAGGAGAGAGUAAAGAUUUUAUUUUUAUUUUUUUACUGAAAAAUGAUGCAUUUGUUUUACCAAGGGAGAGAAAAAGCAAAGACGAUGAGAGGGAGAGGCAGAGAGAGAGAGAGAGAAAACACUCUUCUGAACAUCUUUGAAAAAAGCAAGUUCUUUGGUGAGGUUGAGUUGUGUGGUUAAGGUUUGUUUUAUCCAACUGUGCGGAAGCGUGUGUAGCUGUCUUUCAGGUCUCUUUUUAGUUGAAGCGCAGAAAGACUACUCAUGGCAUGUUCAAGGGCACUCGGUGGACACGGAUGCCCUGCAGGAGGCGGAAUUAUGAAUACAACAUGAGUAAACAGACACCUACAUAUACUAUUAAAAUAGUAAGCUUAGUAAUUGGCAAGAGACCAUCCUAAGUAGUAAUUUGAGCUGGUCCGUAGCAGUGCAACCUUACUCUUCUGAGGGUCAUUGAUAAAGACUUGUGAAAAAUCAGCUCUAAUUUGCCUGAUAGUGGAAUCAUUUGCACAUUGGCAGUAAUGUAUUCCUGUGUGCAUUCCUCCAAUACAAGCCUUUUAGUAUUCAGUUUAGUGAUAAAGGAUUUUUUUACACAGCAGCUGUGAACAAAGAAUACAAUAGCGCACAAACUCGAAACACAAUUCCGAGCCUGAGCCUUGAAUGGCAUUCAGACUUCAGUGUGACUGAGCGAACCCAUUCAGUAGGAGUACGCGGCGGUUGGAAAAGAUGGUAUCAAGUUGCCUGCAGAUGGAGGUCAGUGUGACUGGCACAGUUGGCACCUUGGCACAGCGGCAGUGUGCUGCAGCACUCAGCUCCGCAAAAAAGGAUGCGUCGACUGAAGGAGGGGACUUGGGGGGAGCGUUUUUUCUCACUUUUUAUUGUGUGCGCUUCCUGUUUUGAAAGCCAUUAAGGAGCAAAUUUCCUCACAGCGAGAGAGGAGAUGAAAAGGGCCCCGUCUUUUGAAACAUGUCCAAGCGCAAAUGUGAAAAAGAGGGGGAAUGAUAGCUAUCUGUAAACAUCUCUGUCGAGGGGUCGACGGAAAAGGAAUUGUGAAGGGAAUGAUACAUUCAUUUGCGUUCUCUCUCUCUCUCUCUCUCUUUUUUUUUUUUUUUUUUUUUUGAUUUGCUGAUGAAAGAGAUGCUGCAGUUUUUUGUUCCGAGCCAGCUGUAUUGCUCUAUUCACAACCACACUAAUAUAUCAGGGCAGGCUCACAUAACUACACAGCCACCACCCCUUAUCCCCCUUUCCGAAAAUGCUUUGUGACAUCUGCAUCCACACAUGUCUGCAUUCACUGUAGCCGGCGAGUAUUUAUAGACGGGUCGGUUUUGUCAUCUAUUGAUCCCUUCAGGUUCUCUGAUCACAAAACUGCACUUUUAAGUAGCUUUUUAUACGCUAUCAUAAAGGCGAUCUCUAUGUAUUUGAACUGAGAGCACCCGAGGUUACCUGCAGAAGCCGACCUGGUUACGAUGAUCAGCCUCUUAAGUCCAGCACUGGUACCAUCAGUUAGCCAUUUAACUGCCACAGCUGUCAUUUCUGUUUAGUUGGCAUACAGUAUAUUUACAGCAGUUUCCUCUCAGCGGUGCUCAGUUUCUCAAGAGUAGCAGUAGCUCGGUGCUGCAGACUCUCCUCCUCCUCCUCCUCCCUCUCCUCUUCCUCCUCCCUCUUCUACCCCUCACUGCCCCCGAGCCUGGCCAGUCUGUGCCUCUUAAUAAAACUGACAGGCUCUAAUUGGGCUUAAUUGCACCCUUCGGGCGUCGUCAAAAGGAGUGUUGCUAAACAAACUGCAGGGUCUGCAAGCAGGCCAGCCAGUCUACGGCACAGCGCGUUGGCCGCCGAGCUCGUGCCUGCAUGCAUGUGUUACGAAUCGCCAUCGAUAUGUGUGCGUUAAGAGCGUGCAUGAGUAAGCAUGGAGUGUAACUGCGUGGGUGUACGUGCAUCGAGGUUUGUGGCGAACCCAUUCAUUCCUCACCGUGAGCCAACAGAACAAGAGCUCACAAGUCUGAGAAUCUUGUGCAUUCAAGCAGGCAGCAUCACCUGACUGUGAAUCUCUCAGCGCUCUCUCUGACGCUAAAUCGACACAGACAGUAAAACAAGAGUACGUCUGUGUCUUUGAGGAAGUGUCUACAACUCCAGGUGUCAGAAAAGCCUUUUAAAAUCCCCACUAUUAUGAAAAACCCCUACCAAACAAAUCCCCGCCUUGCUUUUUCAGCGGUAUAAGCAAAAAAAAAAAAAAAAAAA